rnacentral:rRNA from 1 species
AGUGAACGCUGGCGGUAGGCCUAACACAUGCAAGUCGAACGGCAGCACAGUAAGAGCUUGCUCUUACGGGUGGCGAGUGGCGGACGGGUGAGGAAUACAUCGGAAUCUACUUUUUCGUGGGGGAUAGCGUAGGGAAACUUACGCUAAUACCGCAUACGACCUACGGGUGAAAGCAGGGGAUCUUCGGACCUUGCGCGAUUGAAUGAGCCGAUGUCGGAUUAGCUAGUUGGCGGGGUAAAGGCCCACCAAGGCGACGAUCCGUAGCUGGUCUGAGAGGAUGAUCAGCCACACUGGAACUGAGACACGGUCCAGACUCCUACGGGAGGCAGCAGUGGGGAAUAUUGGACAAUGGGCGCAAGCCUGAUCCAGCCAUACCGCGUGGGUGAAGAAGGCCUUCGGGUUGUAAAGCCCUUUUGUUGGGAAAGAAAAGCAGCAGGUUAAUACCCCGCUGUUCUGACGGUACCCAAAGAAUAAGCACCGGCUAACUUCGUA